ACUUAAGCAUAUCAAUAAGCGGAGGAAAAGAAACCAACAGGGAUUGCCUCAGUAACGGCGAGUGAAGCGGCAACAGCUCAAAUUUUAAAGCUGGCGUCCUCGACGUCCGCGUUGUAAUUUGGAGAGGCACCUUCGGUUUGGGCGCCGGCUUAUGUUCCUUGGAACAGGACGUCACAGAGGGUGAGAAUCCCGUGCCGUCGGCUGUCCCAUUCCACGUGAAGUGUCUUCGACGAGUCGAGUUGUUUGGGAAUGCAGCUCAAAAUGGGUGGUAAAUUUCAUCUAAAGCUAAAUAUUGGUGGGAGACCGAUAGCGCACAAGUAGAGUGAUCGAAAGAUGAAAAGCACUUUGAAAAUAGAGUUAAAAAGCACGUGAAAUUGUUGAAAGGGAAGCGCUUGAGACCAGACUCGGCUUCGGACGAUCAGCCUCCCUUCUGGGCGGUGCACUCGUCUUUGGUCGGGCCAGCAUCGGUUGAGACGGCGGGACAAGGGCUUCGGGAAUGUGGCUCCUCUCGGGGAGUGUUAUAGCCCGUGGUGCAAUGCCGCCCGCCUCGACCGAGGACCGCGCUUCGGCUAGGAUGCUGGCGUAAUGGUCUUCAGCGACCCGUCUUGAAACACGGACCAAGGAGUCUAACAUCUAUGCGAGUGUUUGGGUGUCAAACCCUUGCGCGGAAUGAAAGUGAACGGGGGUGGGAACCCGCAAGGGCGCACCAUCGACCGGUCCUGAUGUCUUCGGAUGGAUCUGAGUAGGAGCAUAGCUGUUGGGACCCGAAAGAUGGUGAACUAUGCCUGAAUAGGGUGAAGCCAGAGGAAACUCUGGUGGAGGCUCGCAGCGGUUCUGACGUGCAAAUCGAUCGUCGAAUUUGGGUAUAGGGGCGAAAGACUAAUCGAACCAUCUAGUACUGGUUCUGCCGAAGUUCCCUC
rnacentral:rRNA from 1 species